rnacentral:lncRNA from 1 species
GUAUUCAUUGACUCAUAAUUAUUCGCCAUAGGUUUCCACCAUACUUAAGAGUGGCACCAACAUAUUUCGCUGAACCCCUAUAUGUAAUUUAUAAAUUUCGUUUACAUGCAUAUUGCCACUCAAAACAUAUUAUAUGAAUUCACUGCAACAAGUUGCAGAAUCCCAUGGAUGAUGAAUUCACAAUGAGGAAGCAGAGAAUACUAGUCAGGGACACAAGCGGUUGAUUUUCCAUACCCGUUUUCCGUUGAUUUCCUGAGGAGAAUAUUGCAACCUGUCAUGAAAACAUACAUUACCAAUGAGGCUUACAAAUCUUUGGUUAACCACAUUUAUCCAACUCUUAAGGCCAUGCACCCACUUAAGUUCAUUCAUUUGCCAAAAACAAUGGAAAUCCUCUUUUUGAUUUUGAAGAAAACAUCUCAGAUAUGCCUAAGAAUAUGUGAAAGGCAAUAUUUUAUUUAUAAGAGUUCAUUUGAAACUUUAAAUUGAAUAAGGUUUCUAAACUCUUCAAAACAACUUAGGGAAGAGUGUCCAUUUCAUAUAGCAUGGAUUAGAUAAGAAGUUAUCCAAUGUAAAUUUAGAUCAAAAACCACAUUAUUCUGCAGAGAGCCAUACGUAGAUUCAAAUUUAACAUCCUUUUUUCUCCAUCUUUAGUGUAGCCAAUCAAAACAAGCAUGCACAGAGGAAUUGACACCCAAAUAGAUUUAACUUGAGUUUGUUUCGACACCACAGCACAAAGACAGUGAUUCAAAAGUUGCAAAUUAAUCAUAUUAAUUGUCAACAGAAUGAAGACAACAAAAAACAGUGAAAAGUACAGCACUCUUCCUAUUUCAUAUUUUUUUUUUUAAGAAAAACUGAAUCUUGACAAGAAAACGUGGAUAAAUUAAAGAAAAGGAAAGUGCAACCCUCAUAUUCCUAAAUACAAACAUCAUAAGGGUUGCACCAUAUUCAGAAAAAGGGUGUAAUCAGGAUAUCUUUGAGGUGGCUUUAUCAUCACUCAACAAAAGAUCCAAAGACCUACAAAAAGCUGGACCGCUUGUGGAUCCAAUCCAAAUACAAUUGAGAUCUCAUUGUUAAGGUCCAUACCUAACCAAUUCCAGUUACAUCCAAACCAAAAUGAUUUUGGUCUAAAGCAGAGCUCUCCAUUCUUUACAGACAAAUUAUUGCAACUAUCGAUAGAGAAAAGAAAUAAAAAUCACCUAUCAUGCAAACGAGACGUCUGUCCUUGCCAGAAUUCGAAAAGCUCUGGUUUAAGCCUGUAUCCUCCCCAGUAUUCUGGUUUUGGAAUCAAACUCCUGUCAAAACAUAAGAAAUUUACAAAGGAUUUAAAAGCAAAUUUCUCUCCUGGAGUCAUUUCUUUCUCUCUUUUUUUUUUUUUUUUAAUUAGGGAAUAGGAUUAGGGAGAAUUUACAGUCAUCAGUGAAAUAGUAUACUAAUCUAACCUUAAUUUUGAAUAUAUGCAACAUUGCAAAUAAUGUUGAAUUAGGACAAAUGCAUUUAUGAUGAACCGGAAAAAGGCUGAUAACCAUCUAAAAGAUAUUAAAUAUUAAUACACAAAUCAAAUCAUCAAGGUAGAAAAAUAGAUAGCGAAAACUGAAAGUAAAAUAUUAAAUAUCUGAAAUUCCAACUCCAUACCCAUCAGAGAAUUUUUCCUCUAAUUCUUUGUAUUGCUGGUACAGAACAUGCCUUCCAGGAAUGACAGAACUCUGAAUGAAGCAAAAAGUGGUAGCUAUAGUAUUUGCAAACAUAUUAUUACGCACAUCUGUGAAUUAUACAACAUUUGGUCAAACAAACCUGUUUGCUAACUAUUGCUCCAAUCUGACUUCCUCUGGGACGGCUAUGGAAGUACUGCUCAGAUUCCUCAUCAGAAACUUUUUCAACAGAGCCUUCCACUCUUACCUACUCAUCACAGUUCACAAUAACAUGGCCUUAAGACAGGAAGAUUGCCCACAAGAAAUGCUUUUGCAGCACAUCAGCUCAUCAAAUUAUAUUAUUGCCAGUUAUGAAUUUUCAAUUUCUGUCUAACUGUAGUAGAUUGGUAAGUAAAAAUUGAAGUUUCUACAGCUACAGGCAACCAGCGCUUGCACCAACUCUUAACUUGUCCAGUACUGGUAGAAUACCAAAAACUAUUUUGAUAGCAUAUCUCAGGUCAGUAUUCACAAUCCUAGACUUACCAUCAUAAUGUAUAAGGUACUUCUAUUCUGUCAACUCUUCUUUUUUAAUUUUCAUUUAAUUUUAUUUUUUACUCAGCAGGGAAUUGGGAUAACCUAACACAAAAUGUGCCCCACAAGCAAGAAUACAACCUACCUGUACCAGCUGCCAAAUGGGGAGAAACCUCAAUCCCUUUAACCCCCAACCAUGGGGCACAGGGAGUAAUAACUAGGUUGUAAUUAAAUCACUGUCUUCUUAUAGAUAGAAAAUUUUACACUCUUAUUGCUUAGUGGCUAAAAAGUUCAGCAAACAAGAUUACUUCAUGUAUCAAAAAAACUGCUCGGUUUGGUUUUUGGCAUCCAGCAAAUAAGAUUCCAGCUUAGACAAGGAAGGUGAAAAUAGAGGAACCAUUUUCAAAGAACCUGCGGGGAAUGUUGACAGAUGGAACAAAGCUAAUCGGAGAAAUAUUGAUACCUGCCGAUUUCGACCAUCCCAGUAGAAAAGAAGAGAUGCGUGAGGAUUUUCACAUAAUUCACAUGCCUUUCUACUUUCAUAAUUGGUGUACCUGCAUUCAGAAAAGAUUGCAGCAUAGGGGAUGAAAACAUUUGCCCAAAAACACUUUUGAUUGCAGCAUUGCCAUUAUAGUAAAAGAACAUUACUGACCAGACAAAACCAUCCCUAUCAACUCCCUUGAGCAAUACCAUUCGUGAUGAGCUGUAGCAAAGUGACAUGAGGUUGAAUGGAUUAGAAAAGGAUAAUUAUAACCACACACAUUUCAACUACAAAGAUCAUCAAUUAGUAUCUAUGCUAGUACAUUGCAAAUUGUAGACCCAAUUUAAAAAAUUUUACAACUUCAAUUAACUAAAUGUUUUAUGCAAUUGGUGCAGUGAAAAUAAAGAAUAAUUUAACUAUGACAUCACAUCUUACUAUAUUAUGCAUCAAUUUUGAGGAUACUUGCUCAACCUCUGCGGUUCUCCUUUUUUUUGACAUUUAAUGGAUCUUUCUUAGUUUUCUCUCAAAAACAAGUGAUAAAAGGAUAUGGUGAUGUUUGAAAUUCAAAGUUUAUUAUUAUUAUUAUUAUGUGUGUAAAUGACAUUGCACAUAGUCCAUGCCUCAUGUUGAACCUUUGUUAUGAAUGCCUAAGUUUCUUGUAAUGGACUUUAUUAAGGGCCGUGUCUAAAAUGACAAGAUGCAAAUUCAGAUGAAUCUACUGAACAUAAUAUUGUUGAUGAAUGAAAAAGAAAUCAAAAGAAUAGAAAGUACGGUUUUCCAUCCUUGCCAACAGUUGAUAAAGCCAUUGCAUUUGGUUCCCUCAAUCCUGCAGCAAUUGCAUCAUCAAACCAUUUCCGAAACUGCAAGAUAACCAAAUUGCUCACUUCAGAUGCAGAGGACAGGUUUCUUUAUUUAUUGGGACAAAAACAUGGCUAAAAUUCCAUUCUCUACUAUAAGCCAGCAACAAGAAUUGAACUCAUGCAUCAAUGAUAAAGAUAUGGAUAUUAAAUGAACGACCAGCCGCACUGCUUUACUUGAUUCAUACCUGAUUAAUGGGGUCAGAUUCAACUUGCUCCUCAAGGAAUUCUGGAGAAAUAUAAUUCUCUCGUAGAGCUGAUAUAUCAACGCUUGGUGCCUUUCCAAUUCGUACACACAUUGAAGUACCAGGAUAAGGUGGAAGACGAAGCUUAUAUUUAUCUGCAAUGACCGGUGGGACAAAUCGACCACCUAGAAAGUGGUGAGGACCACUGAAUUUCUUUGCACACAGUUUGGGAGCAGUUAAAGAAACCUAGAAAACACCAAAGUUGCAUGAUUGGAAAAUUUAAAGAGAGAGAGGGGGGGAGAGAGAGAGAGGACAUGGAAUUCAAAAGGUACACCCUCAACAGUUUUUGGCAGGAAAAGGCAACAUUAAAGGCCCCAUUAAAAACUCACCAGCAUGUCUGGUUUUAUGCCUUCAUCCCCAAUAUCCCCUUCUUCAACGUGCCAACCAGAUGGAAUAUCUACAGAGACAAUAACUGGGCGUUUUUGGUGUGUUUGAUCAUAACCAUGUAGACAAAGCAGUCUCUUAAUCAGAUCAUCAAACGGUGGCCUUGGGGUUCCUGAAGGAUUUUAAGGAGAUAAAUCAGAUUACGCUGAGGAUUUGACAAGGCAUUCCUGAAGAAGUUGUAUGAUCGCAAUCUAUUUAGGUUCUGUAAUCUUUCUGAUUUUUUUUUACAUUUAUAUAUUGCUUAGGCACAAUGAGUAAAAAUUAUUAGAAGGAUUCAAGUAGCCAUGACCCAUUGAGUUGCAUCCGGGAGAUAAUUUUAUAUGGUUUCAUAUUUUUUUCUAGUUGUACAAAUAUAGAGCUGUUUGCCUGUACUAAUGAAGGAACCUUCAAUAAUUUCCAGCCAGGAGUUUUGGAACUUGCAUUACAACCAAAUUAUUAAGCCCAAUAAGUUCAACACACUGGAGAAUCAAACAGUAAAAAGAUGAAGAGUGAAGGCUAAAUAUAUGUAAAAAGAGAAAGACUAAAAGCAGUGUAGAUUGGUUAUUUUUUCUUUUUGUUAUAUUACAACAAAAAUACAUAAAUAUUAAAUUUCUAAGCAAGCAACAUAAAUUAUGGUUUCUUAUGCUAGUGAAACAAACAAGAUUUGGUACUGCAAUGAAGACAUGAAUUUCAUGGGGGGAGAAUAGCAUAACAGUACUUGCAUCCAAUUACUACAAGCGGGACUACAUAAAUAACGAACUCAUUUCAUUAAAAUAUAUAUCCAAACCACAUUUCAUUAACGAAACAGCAAAUUGUUAUUGUGUGAUCAAUUGAUUCAAUCCAUGACACAUGCAAUUUCCUUUUGCUCUUCAGUGUUUAAUAGACACACACAAAGAAAUUACCAUGAAAGGAGAACCCAAACAUUGCAUCUACGAUGAUAUCGAAGUCCUUUGAAAAGUCCAAUGGUAGAUCCUCCACCGACAGGAAAGGGAUUGAUAGCGAUUCAAGCUGUAAAUUUAUCACAUCAAAUGAGACUCCACACAAACUCUAUCUGUUAACACUUGAAAAACAAUUUACGUCAUUUAUACCUGUGUAACCAGACCAGUAUAAAGUGGCUUUUGAGUACGCUUUGGAUAACAGACAAACGGCUUGUAUCCAAAAUGAUACAGAUGUCGAGCAGCUACCAAACCAUCACCUCCAUUGUUCCCCGGACCGCAUAUGGCAAGCACACGAUCAUAUUCACUUGGUUUGUAAACCUGUCAAUUAUAUAUUUUCAACAUCAAAAUUCAUUAUAUAAUCCAAUUUCAGCACUAGAAACAAAACCUAACAACAUGUUACUACACGUCAAAACCUAACAUAAUUACCUCUGCUAUGGAUGUUGCUACACUCAAACCAGCCAAUUCCUGCAAGAGAGAGAAAUUUUAAUAAGCGAGAGAAAAGGAAAACUGGUAAGAUUAAGAAGAUAAGCUAAGAAAUACCAUAAGCUGAUCGACACUGAAGCCGAGAGGUCCCAUGAGAGUCUCAUCAAUUUCGGCAGCUUCUCGCUGAGUGAGAUGAGAUACAGAAUCGGAAUUUUGUGCCGACGACAUUGCGUCUGAUUUUGAGCAAAACGCACGAAUUGCGGGAGCUGAAACUGGACGGAGAAACACCUUAUAGAACGAGUUAUGUCAUUAGUUCGUUAUAAUUCAAUUCAUAUACGAGAAGAGAAGAGAGAGCGUAACCGUACCGAGGAGGAGGAGGACUGAUUGGAGACGAGAAGAGAGAAGGGAUUGCAAGUGGAUUUGAUUGCUGGAGAAGAGUUAUAGUGGUAAGCGAGAGUGAGCGACUGUGCCAGAAGCGAGCAUGUCAUACUCAUUCUUCUGCUUUUGCGUAUCACCGACCACAUUCUUCUAGAGUUCUAGUUACGUUUCGCAUUUUCCCCCGGAAUUUUUAUUUUUUAUUUUUUCAACUUUCGGUUUGCCGUGUGGUUAGUCUAAACUUUGAGGACGUUUGGGAUAAUUUUACUGAAAAGUAAUCAUGUAUUUUUUAAAAGAAAAAAUACUAAUUAAUUAAGAGAAAAAUGAAAUUCUUUGCAUUGCCGUUAAUUUCAGAAUUUGGGAUGAAUUUGUGAAAACUAAAAAAAAAAAGUUAAAUAAUCAAAGAAUACGGUAAAUAAUAUAAACCAAAGGGAAUGGCUUUUCAAUGUGAAUGGUGCAGACUUACACAGGUUCUCAACAUUGCCAUCAAAACCAUUCAAGAAUAAACAUGGCCAUUAUAUCAAAUUGGUAAGUGUCACUUAUGUGCCCGUCAUUUGGUGGUUUUUCUAAUUUGGAUUCACGUCUUCCUUUUCUAACCAACCGAACCUUGCUUCUGAUGAUUUUUGGUCUUCUUAGUUUUCCACAAAAAUAGAAAACCAAGUUCGGUCUUUCUUUCUUUAUUCGCUUUCCAUCAAGGCAUAAAUCAAAGGAGAGCGCCCAGCUUCACAAAAUGUGCAAAUAUAUAUAUAUGUAUAUAUACACAUAGUUCAAGUGAUUCUACUGAGAAAUAGUACCCAAACCCUCCUACUUAUUGAAUUUACCAUAUUCCUACCAAUCUAUACCCUCCUAGGAAGAAUGAGAGCACCAGGUUCCAUGUUGCGUGUUAUUCAAUAAUGGCAAAUAGGGCCUAGGGCUAGAAAGAAUCUCUAUUUGCUGGUUCACCUCUCUGGAUUGAUACCAGGUUCAAUUGAAAAAUAAAAAAAGGAUGCAAAGCGCCCAACUUCACAAAAUGUGCAAAUAUAGCAAAGAAGGAUUCCACUAUGCCAUCCAGGCCUGCAGUUAGCCUUGUGAAUAUUUGUCUGUUAGAAGUCUUCUAUUAGCGGUAGUGUCUCGAUGGGUGACCUCAGCCGGAACUGGGUCAAAGAUACUAUAUAUAUAUAUAUAUACACACAAAUUAAUAUACUACAAUAAAUAUGAAUUUUAAGUAAUAAUUUUGAAAAAAAAUAAUAAAAAUAUUAUAAAUUUUUUAUUAUACAAAUGGUGGAUUGAAGUAAGUUUCUAAGCUACUAUCAUAAUAAUUAGUGUUUAUAAAAGACUUCAGUCUAAUUGUUUUUAAGUUGCUAAACCUUAAUGUUAAACAGGAUUUAAAACACAAUUUUCUAUUAAUUUCUCAAUAUUAUGUCUUUUGAGAAGAUUAAUGCCGCCUUAUAACUUGUGAUGAAAAUUUUGACAUAAAUUUUGAGAUCACCAAAUGUCGACAAUUAAUGGAAUGCAAAGACAAGGUUCGCUAGCUCUGGCUACAUCGAAUCAUUGUGCCUCUUAUACGUUCAGGUCGCAGUUGACCAGCCAUUGCUGAAUGCCAGAGCUCUGAGAAUAUAUUAAAAAGUUGAUUACAUCAUAAAAUAAAUUAAUGAGCAGUUACACAAACCACUGGCAUAUAAUUUAUCCCACUUGCUAUUGAUUCUACAUUUGAAAAGUUAAAACGAAUAAAAUUUCAAUUUCACAUCAUAUUCUUUUCUUGCGCUUCUCCAAGCGUGUAGUUACUUUUCUUCUUCAUCAAGCAAAGUCUUUUGAAUCCUCUCAAUGAAGCUCAACAUUGUUUCUAAACCCUUUUCAUCUGCAAACAAAUAUAUAUAUAGGGAGAGAUCCUAUGAAUAAAUCAUAAAUUGAAAACAAAGUCGAUAGAGAGACAGGAAGCAAUGAUUCAGUAAGUUAAUUACCAAGCCUCGGUAUUGUGUGCCCCUUGGGAUGAUGAAUUACAAAAGGAUCUACACAUUUUUCCAAUAGUUCCAAACCAUAAGGCUUUAAGAAAUCCGUCUCACCUGCAACCAAACAAGAAUCAACAGUUGCAUAUGUAUAAAUUAUUUAUAAGUUAUAUAUUCGUCAAACACAUUCAACUUUUAUAUCACAACAUGACAGACACUUAGUUAAUUACUUUAUAAAACUGAACAAGUUUCUAUAUCUACAAAUGAUGCCAAAAAACCAGUUCAAUAUUCUAGAACAAGAUUUGCUCUCUAAUAGUCCAGACACGGGAACAACUUAGAUCAUGAUAUGAUACAAUUUGCAAAAGGCAGUGUCUAUGGUGGAGAGGCUCCACCGUAGAGCACUGCCUAAAAAUCACAUGGUCAAAGUGAUAAAUAGUAAAAAUAAAGUUAUUGUUAGAUCAUAUGGUUAUUAACAGUGCUAUACGGUGGUGCAACUCUACAGCAGCCGGAUUGCAAAUUUACAGUGAACUUGUUUCAAUUAAUUUUAACACCAACCCAUAUUCAAGACGUAACACCUAUGCAAUUGGCAUACAUAUUCAAGAUGCGAUCAUAUUGUAACAAAUUACUAGCCAAACGAAACUGGAGAUAAAAUGAAUUUUAUUGCGCGAUAGAUGUCUUGAAAGUAACCUUUGUCACCGAGUCAAGGGAAUCCUUGUGCUGCGCACACCUACUUUGAAUGAUGGGGAGCUUUAGUCCAACACCUAAUGCUUUAUUUUUUUAUGUUUGACUCCACCUAUUUCACAUUAAUUAAUACUAAAGAUUCCAAAACUAAAAAUUAUUGAAAAAAAUGUUGCAAUACAACUUGCAUGUAAGUUGACGAGCAGUACAAUUUAGAAAAUAAUUCAUGGGAUGACAAAAUUCCAUCACUUUCACAUGAGUCAAAGCAGCAAAGCUAUUAAAUGUUUUAAAAUAAGGAACGGCGAAGGAGAUGGUACCUAAGAAGUGGAGUGUUGGGCAUCGAAUGGGCGACGAAUAUGCGUUCUCAGCCACAGAUGGCGCCUUGAACAUGGCACCUCCAACGAUAAUCAGGAACUUUAUUUUUGGAACUUUUGUAAGAGCCACGCCCUGCAAGCAAAACAACACCGCGACACCAAUUACUUAAUUAAUUGAUAUUUUUAUUUUCUGCCGGUUCUCGAACUCGAAGAAUACAAACAAAAGUUAACAGCCUAAACGCACCUUCGCUUGCAUACCCGCCAGCCCCGCCGAGAGUAUCGCCCCCUGUUAUUGCCAUUUAACGAUACGUGAAUUAAUCAUGAGAAAUAACUAGUCAAAGAUUAAUAGUCGACGAACCUGUGAGAAUCCCAGAAGCCCAUCAAACGGGCCAUGUUUGAUCAUGUAAUCUUCAAUGUAUGCAAGGCACUUGUCAAAGUUUGUGUACUCUGUAAAUUCCUAUAAUUAACAAUAAUUUUUUUAAAAAAAAUCAGAAAUUAUGAACUUGGUAAUCAAAGAAGGCGAAAGUGAAAGUGAAAGAAACAGAAUUCGGACUUCAGACCUUGUUGAACUGGAACCACUCGUAAUAAGGAGGAUCAAAGAUGCCUUCCACGUCAGAUUUACCUUGGGCAGGGUGCGCCCCGUUGGGGAAAACAAGAUCGAGAUUGUCGAGUACUUGUUGAGGCCAUUUUCCUAUCUGUUUCUUGAGAAUUUCUCCGCUUGUUCUGAAUCCAUGCAGACAAAGAACUCUUGGUUUCCUCACAAUCCCAGCUUCACUUCCCAUCUUUUCUCAAUUUUCUGAAAAAAAAUUAUGAACGCUUUAUACUUUGAGGCUUUUUCUGUUCCGCUAUGUUUGGAGGUUUUUAAAUGUUAAGAGCCCCUCUUUUUAUGUGGGGACCUGAAAUAGUGAAAUUUACUCGUCUCAGAUUCUGCGCGUUUGUAAGGAUGCCUCCCGCGGGGCAUAUGCCGCGCUGAGUAUAAUAGUUACACGUGCUCUCCUAGUUCUAGAAUGAUUGGUACGUAAUGGACGCUGAAGAUGGCACAGAUUGUUUUCUCAACGGCUGUGAUCUGCUAUGUGAAUCUCGUGCAAUGUGUCCUGUGGUUCAUGCAUUGACUUGUGGGCAGUAGGUAGAGAACUCGUUCAAGGGUUUGAUGUGUUCAUCAAUUACGUUAAACUGCGCCCUCUGCCUCUUUGAUAAUCCGCUGCUUAGGGAUGGCAAUGUAGAGGGGAGGGGAGGGGACCAAUCUCUCCGUAUUUAUCUAUGAUAUUUUGCGUAUGUCUCUGUCUCCUUCCCAUCCCUGUCAAAAUUAUUUAAGAGAAUCUUCAUCCCCUCUCCGAAUAAUAACAGGGGAUCCCUGAUGGUCCCCGAUCCCCGAAUAACUAAUACAUUUUUUUUUCGAUUUUGAGUUAAUCAUAUUAAAAUAAAAAAUUCAAAUAAAAGUAAAGUUCGAAAUAUAUCUUACAUUAAUAUCCAUUACAAAAGUCACAUACAUUAAAUUAGUAAGUAACGCAGCAUGCGAGGGAUACAAACUAUCAUGAAUAAAUUAAUAGCCCAAUACAAAAUUGUUACAAAUAAAAUCAAAUUUAGAUUCAAAAUUAACUUUUCAAUGGUGGCGUGGGCACUUUAUAAAUGUGGAUUAUUCCCUUUACAACAUAAUAGUUAAGUCGAAGCAAAUCAAGAGCAAAUAUUAUAUUAGAUUAGAUAUUAAAAUUGUGAUUUUCUGUGGGCAAUUAUAAGAUCUAAAAAUAAAUAAAAAAUAGAUUUAAGAUAAAUAAAAAAUAGAUUUAAGUUUAAAAUAUUUAAUGAAUAUUAAAAUUAAAACAAAAGUUUUGGGCUAAUAGAAUAUGUCCGGUCUUUUUAAUGUCAUAAAUAAAAAUUUAGGACUUUAAUUAGUUAAUUAGGCCUAAAAGUUUAAUAAUAUAAAUAUUUUGAUAUUUUUUAUUUUUACCAAUACUUAUAAUUUUAUAAUUCAAAUUUUAUAAUUUAUUUACUAGUAAUUUUAAAAAUAAAAAUUAAAUUAAAAAUUAAAAUGGAGAAAUGGGUAGAGGAUGGGGAUUCCACCUCAUCCCCGUCCCCUCCCCGAAUAAGAAAUUGGGUAAAAAGAUGAUCAGGCACCUUGAUGUGUUCAUCAAUUACGUUAAACUGCGCCCUCUGCCUCUUGAUAAUCCGCUGCUUUAAUGGGAAGUUCAUUUUAUUCUUUUUAGAUUAUUCCUCGUGAAAUAAUAGUUUUAUCCUUUUUAACAUAUCUUUUAGUUAUUGUAAAUUUUAAUUUUUUUUAUUCAAAUAACAAAGAAAAAUUUAUGGCACGUUGAUGAAAAUUUUAUUAUAUUCCUAAUAAAAAUGAUAGAUGAGCUGAGGUUACAAUAAUUUAGAAAGUAUUUUGAAGAUCAUUAUUCCAUGAGAGAUAAAUUUUGAAUUAUCAUUCCCGUUAAAUGACAAUUUUCAAAUACACUUUAAAUUAUUGUAAACUUCAACUUAUUCCAUUUUUAUUCAAAAGAUAAGGAAAAAAAUAGGGGUGAAUUGAUGAAGAUUUUUUUUUUUUUAAUCUUCUUCACAAAAAUGAGAGUUAUAUUAAGGUUUACAACAAUUUCAUGGGUAUUUUGAAAAUUAUCAUUUCACGAGAAGCAAUACAAAAUUAACAUUUUAUUCCUUCAAGAACGUCUCACUCAGCCACAAUUUCUUUGUUUGUUUGUUAAAUUUCUUAAUCUAUUCGAUACACUUCUUUAAUUUUACAAAUACACGUUUUAAGAUAAGGCAUAUGUUAAUAAUUAUAGUAAAAUAAAUAAUGAAAAUUUCAUGAUGACUAUAAAAAGCAACUAUGACAGAAUAGUUUAUUUAAUUUUCCAUGCAAACUCUCCAAGAUCUGGACGUGCCACGCUACUGACUAGUAAAAUAAGAGUAUGGGAGGCGCAAUUAUUUAGUUGAUAACUUAAUAUGAAAGAUAAGCCGUCGAUUUUCAUGAUUUUGUUUUGUUUUCUCAUUUUACAUUGAUUCAUGUUGCACUGUCACCGCAACGCUAUGUCAAGCACCAGAGCUAAAACCAAAAUUGGAAAUGCGAUGGGCCGAAAGUCUAAACCUAUGCUCGGUUGGGCGUAAACGAGGUGAGAGGUGAGCUGUUUUUUUUUGUUUUCUCUUGGCUUUCCAUCGUUCGGAGCGAAAAUUGACCGGAAAUCAAAUUCCGUUUCAACUCUAAUUUCUAUUAUUUGAGAAAUUUAUUAGUUUCUUUAUUGAGAAGUAAGGAAAUUUGGAUUCCACUCAAUUAAAAAGUUACAUUUUUCUAUUUUACCUCAUUUAAUUGUUGAUUUACAAUUUUACCGCUGAAAAAAUCUUUAAAAAAUCUAACAAAAUGAGAAUUAGUUUUUUUUUUAAUGUCAAAGUCCUUUACAAAAAAUCGGUAAAUCUUUUAAACUUUUGGCCACUUUCAUAAGUAAUAAGAGCAUCGGCGAUAGCAUUUGAGAAUAAGAGAAUAUUUAAAAUUUCAACAAUGUCUUAUCUAUCUUACUUUCAUGAAAUUGUUUAGAGUUUGAACCAUAAGACUUUCGUCGGCGAGCUUCAUCGAUUCUCGAUCGGCUAUUGACAACUGCCUUCACUAUUACCUUAGCAAUAUCCGAUAUUUUAGCUUUAUGAUUCCUCACCUUAGAUGCAGUUUCUCAUCUCCUCAACCUAUUAUAUUUUGUCAUUUCGGUUGUUUGGAUGCUCUUGUUGACUUCUUAUUGUUGGUUGUUGUAAUUGUUUUGGUGAGCUUUAAUGAGCUUAUGAUGUUGUGCAUUUUGUAGACUUGGAACAUGGCUAUUGCAAUUGUUCAUGCCAUAACGUCAACAGGAAUCAAUUUAUCAACAGCGUUACGAUUCAUUACAUAAUUAAUUUAUUGAAUAAUUAAUUCCAGCUUGUGAGAGCAAUUAUCAUUGACUUGUUAUCUUAAUUCGGUGGGAUGUGUGUGGGUUGUGGGUUAUGGCUAUUUUUAAUUGUUGUGUUGCUUCAAAAUUGCCCGUGAAUGGUGGUAGUCUGAUUCAAUUCUUGAUUUGAUUAAAAAUGUUGUUAGGAUUGCUAACAUGUGUAUUGUUUACUGUGUUUCCGGUUUGACACUUGAUACAACUGCUGUAAAAAUGGUGUCUUGUAAUUUAUUGUUAAUAGGAAUUUUAUCUAGCAAAAGAGUAAACUAAUAGGGUGCCAGAAUUUAAAAAGUGCAUUUCAAAUUUUAAAUUUAGGAGUAAGUUGCCGAAUUGUUUAAGUUACAAGGGCAAAUCAUUAGAAAGUUUACCCGUUAAAUAGAAGUGAUGCUCAUACAGACUUAUGGUGAGCCACGCCUACUCAACCCCGGCUUGAUAAAUACGUUAUCUAAAAAUAAUUCUUUUUUUUGGGCCUAAAGGGCCCUUAGGCUACGAGCUCUGCCCUUGGAUGCCAAGGCUCUCGUUUCGUAUGUAAUCUGUUGGGGCUCCAUUUUAAGUAGGAAAAAAGUUAAGUACAAAGCACCGAUACGAUAAUUAAUUAGAGUAAUAAUACAGUCAUAAAUUCUUAUAUAAAUUUAUUUUGUAUAAAUUGAUGCGGCAUUAGUUUAUUGGUUGAAUGAAAAUAUAAAAUAAUAAAAAUAAAUCAUGUGGGCCAAGUGAUAUUUAAUUCAACCAAUCUUAUCAUGCCACAUCAGUACAAAAUAAAUUUAUACAAGAAUUUAUGGCUAUAUCAUUACUCAAUUAAUUAAUUAUUACUAUAGCAAAAAGAGUUGGACUAUUGACACACUGCCAAAAGCUCUUAAAACCCCUUCCCUUUUUUCAAUCCAGUCAAAUAUUCAAAGAUCUCGCAACAACCUUCUUAAUGACAUUAUUAACCUCGCACUACAUUAAUAAAAAUAUUCGCCCAACCUUUCAAUUUUCAUUUUUAUUUUCUGAAGCCCCAUACUGACGUGAACUUUUGUUCCACUUCCUCUUAGAUUUCUGUAUAAAAUAAAGAUUGUUUCUUCUCUACUUCUCAACUUCCAAUAAUACAAGAAUUUAAAAAAUUUGAACAAAAUAUUGUUUCUAUGUGUUUAUCAAAGUUCUUUUUUUUUUUUUCAAAAAAAGAGACCCAUAGCAUUUAUUUUUCAUAGAUUCCAAAUUUAAUUAGGAAAUUUAUAAAAUUUUCACUGUUUUAUUGGCACCUCUUGGCGCCGCCAUAUCAAAUGAUGAAGUGCUAAUGAUGUCUAGUGAUGAAAAUUUCGAUGACGUUCAAUAAAAUAGAGAGAGAUUUACAAAUUAAUAUGAAACUAUUAAUCUGGGUGUAAAUGGAAAAAUAACUUCCGGUAAUUUUUUUUUUCAUUUUAAUUAGAUAUAGUCCUUAAAUGUAAUUCCAGUGAAGGUUAAAAUGGUAAAUAUAGGAAAGGUGUUUUAAAAGGAUUUUCAAGAGGCGGCCAAUAGUCAAGAAUAUAUUUAAUAGAUAAUUGCCAGUUGAAUAUAUCUUAAUAACUAGUCUUGUACAUAUGUUAAAGAAUGAAACAGUUGUAUGGGACUUUAAACCACUUUGGAGUGGGGGAGGGGGAAGCCAGUUUUACAUCCCUAUUUAGUGUGUUUGUGGUAAUAAAUGGUAUUCUUUGACUCAUAAUUAUUCGCCAUAGGUUUCUAACAUACUUAAGAGUGGCACCAACAUAUUUCGCUGAACCCCUAUACGUAAUUUAUCAUUUCGUUACAUGCAUAUUGCCACUCAAAACAUAUUAUAUGAAUUCACUGCAACAAGUUGCAGAAUACCAUGGAUGAUGAAUUCACAAUGAGGAAGCAGAGAAUACUAGUCAGGGACACAAGCGGUUGAUUUUCCAUACCCGUUUUCCGUUGAUUUCCUGAGGAGAAU